rnacentral:rRNA from 1 species
UGGCGAACGGGUGAGUAACGCGUGAGGAACCUGCCUCAAAGAGGGGGACAACAGUUGGAAACGACUGCUAAUACCGCAUAAGCCCACGACCCGGCAUCGGGAAGAGGGAAAAGGAGCAAUCCGCUUUGAGAUGGCCUCGCGUCCGAUUAGCUAGUUGGUGAGGUAAUGGCCCACCAAGGCGACGAUCGGUAGCCGGACUGAGAGGUUGAACGGCCACAUUGGGACUGAGACACGGCCCAG